CAAAGUGGCUAUUCAAUCAGUGCUCGCUGGGAGAUACAUGAAUCUAACUGAGAAAUUCAGGCAUCCUGCUCAUGUCUUCCCCUUCACAUCUUCUUUAUGUCCCAACGUCAGGCAUCCCCUCUGCUCCCUGGAGUGGAGGGGCUGAAGGAUGCUUUCCACUGGGCCUGGGAAAAUAUAAACACAUCUGGAAGGAGGUCGCUGCUGAGCAAACCAUGCUCCCCCCUGAGUACAGACAGGAUGAGGUGUCUAUAAAUAAUGUGAAGAGUGUGAAGAGAUUCUCUCCCCUGGGCUCCCUUUGCAAAAGGUUGAAGACCACUGGACCAGAAGUCAGAAGUGUGGAUACCGACCCCCCAACUAGGCCAUCUGUUGGCAAUCGAUGUCCGAGUCCAGUUUCACAACUGUAAAAUGAAGGCUAGUCUUCUGUUACAUGCCAGGCACAAAAGGUUUUUGGAAAGAAUAAAUUAAGUAAUGGAGCUAAAUGACCUGUAUUG
rnacentral:lncRNA from 1 species